rnacentral:lncRNA from 1 species
AAUUAAAUAACGCCCAUAUAAUACACUUAUCCGAAAUUGAUUGUCUGGUGUCAAUUAUCUCGUUUAAAAAUUACAUGAUUUAAGAGUGUGUGAUAUCGAUUUUCUUGAUCGGAUGGUUUACCUUGUUUAAAGGUGAGAGAGAGCAUGCUUUUUAAAGGAUGUAUGUUGAAUUUGGCGACUUUAUUUCUUUUUAUUUGGAUUUUAAACAUAUUAGGUGAAGUCAUUUCUUUAUUUAUAUUAGUUAAAGUGUUCUAGAAAUAUCUUCUUUAAGAGUGUUUUAUUUUUGGAGAAAUUAAAGUUUGAAGCAC